rnacentral:rRNA from 1 species
AUUGAACGCUGGCGGCAGGCCUAACACAUGCAAGUCGAGCGAGCGGCGGACGGGUGAGUAAUGUCUGGGAAACUGCCUGAUGGAGGGGGAUAACUACUGGAAACGGUAGCUAAUACCGCAUACCAUCAGAUGUGCCCAGAUGGGAUUAGCUAGUAGGUGGGGUAACGGCUAACCUAGGCGACGAUCCCUAGCUGGUCUGAGGGGUUGACCAGCCACAGUGGAACUGAGGCACGGUCCAGACUCCUACGGGCGGCAGCGGUGGGGAAUAUUGCACAAUGGGCGGAAGCCUGAGGCAGCCAUGCCGCGUGUGUGAAGAAGGUCUUCGGGUUGUAAAGCACUUUCAGCGGGGAGGCGUUACCCGCAGAAGAAGCACCGGCUAACUCCGUGCCAGCAGCCGCGGUAAUUC